rnacentral:lncRNA from 1 species
AACUAUUCCGGCUGCAACUGGGUUAUCAAGAAGACAAACCGCGCCACCUGUCGGGUAUCUGUCCAGUGCAGAAAUAAAUAAACGUCCUGAGAGGACAAGCGGGAUCUUGGUAUUUCAACUUCCCAGGAGAGCGCAAACUGUCAGCCAGAGAAGUCAAAGUUUGCAGACAGGCACACAGAGAUGCAGUCUGAAAUGUAGUUCGAAGGAAAAGGGUGAACUACGUGCGUUCAGUUAGCUCCGCGGGGUGGAAUGGAAUUUAUCACCAUCUUUGACCACCAAUUGAGCCCAGUUUUUGUCCUUUACAGCACCCCCGUCACCCCAUCCACACGUGCCUCUUCGGGUGGCAGGAGGCUCGAGUGACGACUCAGAAAUCCUUUUGGGCGCGUUUCUCGGUUGUGUCCCCAUCUUCAUUUACCUGGCGCUGGCGAGAGAGCGAGCAAGCCAGCCAGCCAGCACCGUCUCCCGGGUACCGCGGCCCCGCCCACGCGGCUCCACAGCGCUCCCUCGUGGCGGCCGCCUGCGCAU